AGACAGCGUCGGUAUUCAGCUCCAUAGCGUAUAUUAAAGUUGUUGCAGGUUAAAAAGCGUCGUAGUUGAAUUUCGGGGUUAGUAGGUUGGUCAUGCCUCUGGUAUGUACUGGCCUCACUGAUUCCUCCUUCCUGAUGAGCCGUAAUGCCAUUAAUUUGGUGUUGCGGGGAAUUUGGACUGUUACUUUGAAAAAAUUAGAGUGUUUAAAGCAAGCUAACGCUUGAAUACAUUAGCAUGGAAUAAUGAAAUAGGACGUUCGAUCCUAUUUUGUUGGUUUCUAGGAUUGACGUAAUGAUUAAUAGGGAUAGUUGGAGGCAUUAGUAUUCAAUUGUCAGAGGUGAAAUUCUUGGAUUUAUUGAAGACUAACUACUGCGAAAGCAUUUGCCAAGGAUGUUUUCAUUAAUCAAGAACGAAAGUUAGGGGAUCGAAGACGAUCAGAUACCGUCGUAGUCUUAACCAUAAACUAUGCCGACUAGGGAUCGGAUGAUGUUAAUUUUUUAAUGACUCAUUCGGCG
rnacentral:rRNA from 1 species